UGGCUCCAGCCUCCGGGCUCCGUCAGGCACCAAGCAGGUGCCACAGUCUGCCAGUCGUGGAGUCACAUGGUAAAGGCAGCAGCGGCCCUCCUCCUCCCGGCUUCUAAUGCUCCAUGCCCAUGCCCGACAGAUGGUCUGCGUUGCUGCACCUGGCCGGCUCCCAAUUGCAGGUUCCCCGAGCCAUGGCCUCUCAACUCCAUGAGUUAUGUAUGAUGCCCUUAUCUCUUUAUAAGAGAUGAAAGGGAGGCAAGGAUGACUGGAAUCUUUGCGGGGCUUUAUGGAGAUCUUAACAGGUUAAAGUUCGAGGACAAACACCUUAGUGACUAUGUGUCCAGUCGAGGAUCAGAGUGACGCAGUGAUCUACUACAUCUGUGGGCUUGCCUGGUGACUUGUAGGAUCAGAGUGACGCAGUGAUACUACAUCUGUGGGCUUGCCUGGUGACUUCCCAAAGUAUGUGUCUGUGGGAAGAAGGUGGUUGAAUGGUGAUUUUAGCAAGGUUGCCAAGGAUGGUCAUUUUGCUGGUUCAAGAACCAGAGAGAUGUUCCAAUUAGUUAUGUCAGAUUUGAAAGCCAAAGUAAGUGAACUGAAACAUAGACCUCAAUAAUAAAUAUAGUAUCAUAGCAAAACAUAAUCUUUCAAAAAAAAAUAGCAAAACCUUGAUGAGAAAUAGCACAACUUGCAAAGAGAAAUAGCAUAAUCUUUGAAACUGUAAAUCCAAAUAAAUUGUUCUGUAGACCUGCUUCGUGUGUUGGUUGUUAGAUGUUGUUGACCACAUGCAGAUGUUUUGAGUUAUUGUAGGAAUCAUCCUCUUUUCAUUACCAAUUUAUGAUGUGAGAGAACUGUUCCUAUGAAAUCAAGAAUAGAAGGUAUUAUCUUUUCUAGGUCACUGAGAUCUGAAUAAAAUUGUGCAAGCUACUCAGCACCACUUUGUAAAUAUCAGAGUCCUGUAAUAGUGACCACCAUUUUCCUAAUUUGACAGCAAAGCCCUUUAAAUUUUCUGCUUUGUCCAUACCAGACAGGUAGACAUAGAUUAACAUAUUAAUUUGACUGGUGUAACUAGGGAAAUGAGUCAUCACAUGAAAGCUCUGAGGUAGUUAAGGUGUGAUGAAGUUUUGAUUUGUUGCAUUCUAGGUGAUAAUUUUUGUAUUUAUGCCCUGUUUUCCAUGUGUUAUCGAUCUUGUCAACCUCUUACUAUAGUACAUAAUUGGUGUUGUUCCCAUGCCAAAGUUAUAUCCAUGCUAACAACUAAUAUACAUUAUGCAUAACUUUGAUGCUUUUAGAGUCUGAAUCAUUAGUUGAUAUAUGAGAUUACCGUUUGUUGUGAUGGUCUCAUUCUUUGAGACAUAUUUUCAUUUUUUCAUAAUGUUGUUAUCAAUCCUAGCGAGAUGCUUGCUCUUGCAAAAGACAAUGUAAUGAAAAGUUGACACUUAAGAUCGUUUAUCUCUAUAAUAUAGAGCAGAUUGAUGCCUUUUCUAGCAAAAUAUUUUCGGUUCAUGAGUUGGCCAGAGUGCCAUGUCUGAAGUGCUGUUGAUGCCUCCUAUUAUCUGACUAAUUAAAAAUUUAAAUUUUGAUUGAGAUAGAAAUAAAAGGAUUGCCCAUCCACAAACUGUUGCUAGCACCUUAUUUGCUACUACAGUAUCAGGCCACAGAUUAGCAUGAGAAUAUCUUGGCAAACAAUUUGUUUUUGCAACCUUACAGAUGCUUGUUGCAACCCUAUGCUUGGAACCCACAACCCAGCCCUCCAAAAAGUUAACACUAAGAUCAUUUAUCUCUCUAAUAUAGACCAGAUUGUUGCCUUUCCACCAGAGUAUUUUCCACUCAUGAGUUGGCUGGGGUUCAGAGUAUUGCGUCUGAGGUGAUGGAAUUGUUCGCUGAAAUGCCCUCAAGAUGCCGCAUGCUAAACUGUGGCGGUACAUUGCCUGCUGACAAUGGAGGAAGUUGGUGAUGAAGAUUGGCUCAAGAGGGUGCUAUAGAUGCAUGGUCAGGACUCAUGAGGCUGUGGGGGCCCUCAUGUUUACAAAGGCCAAACUGAGCAACAAUGCUUGCAAGGAGCUCAUCGAGGCAGCAUGGGACAUUGCUGACCAAAGUUUAAAUCCUGAAGGUAGAAUCACACUACAAAAAUUCAAAGAAAUCCUAUCUCAAGUAUUUGUUGGCCAAACUUGCGUCCUAUAAGGCUUCCGUCAUCUUGUCAAAGCAGGUGAUCCCUACCAGGAUGACCACCAUUCUUUACAGGAAUCACUCUCUUUCAUGGAUAAAGUGAAGGCGUCAUCUAAAUCCGAUGAAGAUUAUGAAGAUUUUUUUGGUCAUCAUAUCUGAGUCAAUG